CACUAAUAGCAUUUUUGUAGUCUUGCAUAUAACAUCUCCUUGCAGUCUUUUCUUAUUUAUAUAUUAAAGUGAACUCUAUAAAAUUGCCAAUAUAAGACUUUUUUUUUUUUUUGAGGAAGAUUGGCCCUGACUAACAUCUGUGCCCAUCUUCCUCUACUUUAUAUGUGGGAUGCCUGCCACAGCAUGACUGGAUAAGAGUUGUGUAGGUCUGCACCUGGGAUCCGAACUGGCAAACCCCAGGCCACAAGCAGAAUGUGUGAACUUAACUGCUGCACCACCAGGCCGGCCCUGAAGAUCAUUUUUGACAUACAAAAAUGGGUUGACAAGACAGGGGACGUUUGGUUAACGUCAAUUUUCUAUGCAAAAGAUGAUGGUUCUUCAUCGUCCUGAAGCUGCUACUAAAGAUAGCAUCAUAGAAACAGC
rnacentral:lncRNA from 1 species